rnacentral:lncRNA from 1 species
CAGGCAGCCUACAGAGCUCUGACAUUGCCGGCGGGCCCCUGAUCCUCUCGGCAACUAAUAACAUGCUGGUGGCCAAGUUCACCCUUCCCACUUCUGCCCAGCUGCUCCACAGCCCAGCUGGAGAAAAGGUCCCCAGUGACAGGCACAAGGGCAGUGGCAGCCCGAGCAGGUGUGGGGCAGCCCUUCCCUGCACGGAGGCGCCCCAUGGCACGGGGCGGUCCAUGUCCGCAGCAUGGGCGGAGAGCCCCAGCACACAGGAUCGACAUCAGGAUGAGGAGCGAGAGGGCAGCAAGGCUCCCUCCGGUAAAAUGGAGUUUCAGAUGAUGGAGGGGACACUGGAGAGGAAGCACGUGCUGCAGACAGGAGGUAGAAAGGCAACCUGCCGUGCCUGGAGCCUGUUCCAUGCAGUGCUGAUGAGGCAGACGCUGUGCUUCUACCAGGACCGGAGGGACAGCCUUAAGAGCUCCGUGGUGGCCCUUCCCCUGAACCUCUCUGGGGCGGUCUGCACUUCAGACACAGAGUACACCAAAAAGACCAACUGCUUCAGGCUACAGCUACGGGAUGGCUCUGAGUAUCUUCUGAGGGCCCCGUCCCAGCUGCUCAUGAAUGAGUGGGUCUCCAAGCUGCAGCAGAACUCAGGUGAGCAGCCUCCAGUCACGGGCAGGGGGGACAUGCAGGGUCCCCAUGGGGCACAUGGGGCAUG